rnacentral:sRNA from 1 species
AGCAAGAAACCAAUGUUGAUGUCUGUAGCCACCAAAAUAGCCAUGCAGUUGAACUGCAAGCUUGGUGGUGAGUUGUGGGCACUAGAAAUACCAAUCAAGAAUAUGAUGAUUGUUGGCAUCGAUUGCUAUCAUGACAGUGCAACAAAGGGACAGUCUAUUGGAGCAUUUAUUGCAAGUACUAACAGGACAAUAACCAGAUUCUAUUCCCGUGUCACAUUCCAGCAUACUGGACAGGAGUUGAUUGAUGGACUCAAAGUGUGCUUGCAAGCUUCUUUGAAGAAAUACCAUGAAAUCAAUAAAACACUGCCAGAGAGAAUAUUUGUCUACCGUGAUGGUGUUGGAGAUGGUCAAUUGCCAGCUGUCGUUGAACACGAGAUCCCCCAGCUGUUGGACUGCUUCAAACAACUUGGAUCUGAUUACAA